CUGACCUAAUACUUAUGGAACUUAUAUAUUUGGAAUAUAAUAGAAGCAAAACCCAUAUGCUUCACUUGUAUAGAGAGAUUAUCCUUGAUCAGAUCUGAAUAUCAAGGUCUAGGCAAGUCUUACUUACUUUUUCUUCAAAAAGAAAAAGGUAUAGGCAAGUCUUGGACCUUUCAUCCUUGAACCUUGAAAAGACCUUUCCGGUAUUGUCAUUCAACUAUGUUGUGCAGCACAUUUGCAAAUGUUUUGUGGCCGUUUAGCAUUUGUCUUGAUCUUCCUCAGUCACUUCAAUUACAGUUUGCUACUUCAUGUUUAAUACUUUUGCAUAUAUAUAAUAAUCUGUGGCUCUUAACAUUCAUACUGCUUAUCUUGUUUCGUUUGGUGCUUUCCCUCUACGUUAUCAGCAAUGUCAUAGAGUGUAAAAUAGUCAACUACUUGUUGCUCACAUCCCUCUGAAAUAUCUGUUAUGAUGUCGCUUUCUUAUAUGUAAUUUUCUUUUUGAUGCAAGUUGAAUCAGUAGACAGUUUUCUGCAAGCAUUGGAUCUUGAAAGUAUGCAAUUACAUUUCAAGCUGAAGAAGUUGAUAUGGCUACUCUCGUACACAUGACAGAUGAAGAUCUUAAAGCUAUGGGAAUACCAAUGGUAAGUAUGUUAUUGUUGCAUGUUUUUAUGCGAAUUGAUGUUGCUUGAACUCUUUAAAAAGGUCGUCGAACGUGUUGAAUCCUCCAAAAAUGCACAGCUUUUGGAGGGGCUGACAUGCACCUAUUGAUAUUUUUGAAGACCCCGAGCAACAUAGUUGGAGGCUGUCCACUGCAGGUUUUUAUCUUAAUAGACAAGGCAUUAGUUCAAUCUUUGUAAUGGCCGAUUACUUCAAUAGUUCACAUGAGCCAUAAAAUUUCUUGGAUUUGCAACUUUAGAGUCAAAAAUUAACAAUGUGGAUUUGUGUCUUAUAAUUAGGGUUGUAUCUCCCUUUACUAAGUGCCAAUUAAAGUAAAUGUCCUUUGUUGUUUUCAGGGUCCAAGGAAGAAGACACUUUUGGCAUUGGAAUCUAAAGUCUAAGAAUCGGGUUACAGGGAUUUAUUUCCAGUUCUUUUCGGGGUUUUAUCACUCAAUGUUGUUAACAAGAGCUCACUUCCUGCAAGCCAAUCUGAACAAGAUACAUGAGUUCGACCUUAAUGGGGGUGGAGCAGCAUGGGAGGGCUGAAGAAUAACGACGAAUAAAGCUUGUGGAAGAGAAGAUAGUAGAAAGAAAAGUUAGGAAGAAAGAGAAAAAGGAAGUUCUUCAAAAUUCCUACUUUUGUGAAAUUUGUUGGAGGUUGUACAUGAAGAGGGGCUUGGAGCAAUGUAAAGCGUGAAGCUUUUGCACAGAUUACCCUUCCAAUGCAUGGUCUUUAAUUUUUUGUCUCUCAUAUACUGUAUGCGGUCUUUAAUUUUUGUCUAUGUUGCUCAUUUAUUGAGAAAUUCAGACCUGUUUUGCUUGGUAUAAGUUCUGUAACAUUUAUUUUCGGAAAUUGAAAUUUUGA